CAGAGAGAGGGGAGCUGGAACAUGUUAGGGCCCCCGAAAGCCAAGAUACCCCAGAGCCCAGGAAUCUGAGAAGAGUCCACGUUGAGGGCAGCGUUCGCCUGCGUUCUCUGCCAAGGGGCUGUGGAUUUCGGGACUGAGCACCGUGUCCCGGGACCUCAUCCCCAGGAGGCAGGGCCAUGGGACAGCCCCCAGCGCCAGCCGUGUGGAAUGUGCCACUCUUGGAACUGAGGCUCUCGGUUUUUAAAAUUGGCUUGUAAAUCUCCGUGUAGUUUUCAGGCUUUAGGAAUUUUAUUUUAUCUGGAUUAAAGUCAUGUUCUGCUUUGGCAUAGGAAGGCGUUUAUGACUGUUAAAACAAGAAAUGAAAAAUAUAGGCCUGCAAUCAGCCGGGCUGCCUCCUGCCAGAGUCUAGGGAUUUGUCUUGGGGGCCAGGCUGAAGGUUUGCUGCCCUUCUCCCCGCACUGCUCUGUGUUUCUCCAGAAAGCUGGAGCUGGCUGCCUGGGAGCGGCUGUCGCGAUGGCUGGGAGGGCCUCAGGAACGAAGCCUUUGUCUUUGCUCAGGUGUGUUCUCACAAUGGGGAGCCACGGCCCUCCCCAAGGACCAGCGAGCAAUGGGCGCAUCUCAUUCGCUGCCUGCAUUUGCCCCCGCCCAUCCAAGAGAGCAGAAUCAGAGAGGAAUUGAACUUUCUUGCCAACUUCCUCCAGAGCACAAGAUCAUCCCUCUUGGUCUCUAAACAAUACGCCAAUCAUCGGAUGGAAGUGAGGGGAGCGCUGACCUGUUAGCACCAAACACAGCCCAGGCCCGGAACGGGAGACACACAACAGGAGCAGAGCUGGCUUUCGUACCCGGCCUGGUAAAGACAACAUGUUCUUACAGGCCAGCCGCGAGUCACGGAGGACAAGAACUGAACGACUUCAUUGCCAUUCAUUGGGUCGCCAUAUUUGCACUGGCAACGAAACCCCCAGGAUACCCCUUGCCCUGGCAAUCAGUGUCCUAGGCAAAUGGAGAACAUUAAGAAGUCACUGCACAGCCGAGCAUAACAUGCCUCGCUCUCUUUCACACAGACACACCAAGUCAGCAUUUCAAUUCAAGAAAGCUCCCAAGACAGAGGUGACACAGAAACACACUUUGGGGGGAAACUUCCCCCUUCCCUGGAAUAGGAUACCAUAUGUGUGACUCCCUCUCAGGGUCAGUAUGGCUGGAACAUGCCAUUUCUCCUCUAUCCAGUUACCCUACAUUCGACUCUGUCACUGUGACACCAUAUGCUGCCGGAACAACACAUCCUCAUUCCUUGGAAUAAAAAGGUCUUUCAUAAGACUUAUUAAGUCUGAAUCUUAAUCAUAGUCAUCAUUAUUCAGUCUGCUUGCUGUCCACAAUAUUGAAAUGAAGGGAAACAAGAAAUAGAAAAAGACAAGUUUACAAUCUUCAAGACACCAAUGAAUAAGAAACGAUGGCGAAGAAAGCAAGAGUGACCUCAAAAAAAGAAACGUCUUAAAGUGUAAAAAAAAAAAAUCCACAAAUAGACUCUUAGCUUUCAAUAUUAGUCUUUACUUUAAAAAUAAGGGGAGGGAUGAUUAAAGAGAUGAAUUCACAUUUGAAUAGAAUCCAAAUGACUUAAGAACUAUUUGGAUCCGAAUAUUUCAGUUGGACAAGGAAUGAUAUUAAAGUUAUGUGAUACAUUAGGGGUUGAAGUGAAAUGGAAAUAUUUCUUUCAUUUAAAAGCAAU
rnacentral:lncRNA from 1 species